GCGGGGGCCGGCCCUGGCCGCUCCGCCUAUUGGGACUGGGGGGCCUGGGCCAGCCGUCGGCGCGGUGAUAAUGGGGCGCUGCCGUCUGGAGCCCCACGGCCACUGAAACCGCAGUGACACGACAUCGGUGGAAGGGACAGAGCAUUUCCAGGAGCAUCUACGCAGUCCAUGGCACCACGGGACUGGGUUGUAGGCACAGUUGGAAGGCGGCUUGGUAAGAAUCAGCCAAACCCUCAUCACCUUCCAAGUGAAGACCGAAAAUGUAUUUGGAUAAGGGCACCCGCUUUGGUCACAUAAACCGGCACUGUAAGGAUUCUCAGCGAAAUGAAACGAAAGAAGGCAGCAUUGCCUUUAUCUCGUUCGAACAUCUUAUUUCCUCACUCAGGCAGCUUAAAACCCGGUGCCGUGCACCCGCUGGUCCAGUGCGGGUUUUAUAAAUGACGGAAACACAGCGGUAGUGAGCAAGGUGAGACACCGGCAUCGUGGAGCGUGCUCACUUCGAGACACCUUGCGUUGACGUCCCCCUCUCCGUUGUGCUCUUCGGUUCCACAGCAGCGAACGGCUCCCAGAGCUCUGACGCCUCGGGGUAUCCCCGAUGCAGGGGCCGAACCGCUGUCUGAGGAGGGGCACCUGCCCCAGCCCAGCCAGGAGCCGGGGUUCGUUUCACCCCUGUUCGCACACACGCGCCAGCCCUACAUCUCCCUUACACCAGCGUCGAGGUGCUUCCGAGCCCAACUCACCGCUCCCCGAGCAGCAAGGCCCCACAUCGCUUCCCCGAAAGCUCCCGGCGCUUCCCGACCCCCCCGUGGCCCCGAGCCCCCGGCAUCCGAAAGGUGCCCGGUUCCCCUGCACCAUCGCACACCGCAAGCCGAACUCCGCCGAGCUGCCCCGAGCCCUCCGCCCCCGCCGCACGCAGCGCGGAGCCUCCCCGGGCUCACAGAGGAGCCGGGAGGACACCGCGGAGCUCCCGACCCCGCGGCUGCUGAGGGAGCAGAGCGGCGUGCGGGAUCCCGGGCGCAGGAACAACGUAAUCGAGAUCGGAGCCGCUCAUUGUACAUGAAGAUUAAUUCAGCAUUACAAAGAUCUCACAGAUCACUGAGAUCGCUAAGAUCACAAAGCGGUUGUGUUUUUCUCAGUGAAAUUAAAAUACGUUUGGACUGCACCAGGAGCUGUCAUUACGGCUUUCCUGCCCUUCCGUUCAAGGCUGAGCUGCACAGGACCAAGCACAGAGCGGUGCCUGGGGCCGGGCAGAGCUCCCCAAGCCUGCAUUUCCAAGAACACAAAUCCUGUCCGUUUUUAUACUUAAAUGUGAAAGUUGCUGUGGCUGAAGCUGGGAAGCCAGUGUCCCCUCACACCGACUACUUCUCAUCACAGAAGGGAUGA
rnacentral:lncRNA from 1 species